GGAUGCGAUCAUACCAGCACUAAAGAACCGGAUCCCAUCAGAACUCCGAAGUUAAGCGUGCUUGGGCGAGAGUAGUAUUAGGAUGGGUGACCUCCUGGGAAGUCCUCGUGUUGCAUUCC
rnacentral:rRNA from 1 species